CAGGGUAUAGCUAAGACAGAUAAAGCAUCUCCCUUACACCGAGAAGGCAUCCGUGCAAGCCGGAUUAUCCUGA
rnacentral:tRNA from 1 species